rnacentral:rRNA from 1 species
CCUACGGGUGGCAGCAGUGAGGAAUAUUGGUCAAUGGGCGUGAGCCUGAACCAGCCAAGUCGCGUGAGGGAUGAAGGUCCUAUGGAUCGUAAACCUCUUUUAUAAGGGAAUAAAGUGCGGGACAUGUGCCGUUUUGUAUGUACUUUAUGAAUAAGGAUCGGCUAACUCCGUGCCAGCAGCCGCGGUAAUACGGAGGAUCCGAGCGUUAUCCGGAUUUAUUGGGUUUAAAGGGGGCGUAGGUGGCUUUUUAAGUCAGUGGUGAAAGUUUGGGGCUCAACCGUAAAAUUGCCAUUGAUACUGGGAGGCUUGAGUAUAUUUGAGGCAGGCGGAAUGCGUGGUGUAGCGGUGAAAUGCUUAGAUAUCACGAAGAACCCCGAUUGCGAAGGCAGCCUGCCAAGCCAUGACUGACGCUGAUGCACGAAAGCGUGGGGAUCAAACAGGAUUAGAUACCCGAGUAGUC